AGCUUUGCGCAGUGGCGGUAUCGUAGCCAAUGAGGUUUAUCCGAGGCGCGAUUAUUGCUAAUUGAAAACUUACAUUAGGGAGAUUAGUCUUGAGUGUGGUAGAAGUUUCCAUUUUUUUCUUUUGCCAUGACAAUUUUUAAAAUGUUUUUGAAU
rnacentral:snRNA from 1 species